AGAUGAAGGCAUUUGGAAUAAAGGACGUUGCUCUUGUGGUGAUUGCGCUCAUCUCCAGCUCUUAAGCUAAACCUUCCCAUGUCAUUGCGAAGCGCUCAAUCAAGGAGGUCAGUAUUUACUUUGGAUAUAAUGAUGUAAAUAACAUAGUAUUUUCUUAAUUUAAACUACCAUUUUCUAAUCAACUAUCAAAGAUAAAAUAGAGAUGAAAUUGAAAUGUAGAUAAUUUGUGUACGCCCCAUCCUUGGCCCAUGUUACUGAGGUGCUCAUGAUCCUAAAGUAACUCAAGGACUUGCCUCAACAAAAUACUGCAACUACUAAACCAUGAUGUGAUCAUGCUCUGAUUGAAUAACUUGCUGGUUUAAUACAAAUAAAGCAAUGAAGAACCAAAGCUGUU